rnacentral:rRNA from 1 species
UACGUAGGUGACCAGCGUUGUCCGGAUUUACUGGGCGUAAAGAGCGCGCAGGCGGUCGUUCAAGUCGAGUGUGAAAGCCCCCGGCUCAACUGGGGAGGGUCAUUCGAUACUGAUCGACUGGAAGGCAGGAGAGGGAAGUGGAAUUCCCGGUGUAGUGGUGAAAUGCGUAGAUAUCGGGAGGAACACCAGUGGCGAAGGCGACUUCCUGGCCUGUUCUUGACGCUGAGGCGCGAAAGCUAGGGUAGCAAACGGG